rnacentral:lncRNA from 10 species
CAGAAGAGUCUCGCGGGGAUAGUCAGUGCGCAGGGAGACUAGCACAGGCCGGCAGAGAAGUGACCCAGCCCCGGAUUGCCUGGUAACCUUCCGUUCCCAGGAGGCUGCUGUGAGGCUCCUCUGGCUUCAUGGAGUAUAAUGGACCCACAGCCAUCUCCUUCCCCAACACCAACUCUGCCUGCAUUUUAGGCCAGGUUUGUAGGAGAGUUGAAUGAAGAUUGAAUGAAUGAAUGAUGAAAAGUACAAAAUGCCAUCACUUCACUUCUUUCAGGAAGACCCAGGACACUCUGCUGCAUCCUCCACCUGUUUGUGAAUUAAAUGUCCA